CGGGCGCGAUAAGACCACCCCCUCGACAGAGGUCUCUGAGCGAGGGAUAUAUACGUCGCGACUCGGAAGAAUCGCUCGCGAGGAAUGCGGGUUCGCGCCUCGAUGUCGACGUGAGCAUCACCGACAGGACGUCGAUUCGCGACCGGAAAUUAGCCUCGUUCGCCCCGUUCGUCGCCGCAAGACGGGAGAGGGCCGCGAGACGUCAGCAGGUAACGAGCGUCCGCGAAGCGCGGAGGGAAAGAGGGAGAGACACGGAUAGCCAGGUACCUUGAGAGAGAAAGAGCGAGACAGGAGGGGGGGAGGGGAAGUUGGAGAGAGAGGGGGAUGGCGGGAUAACCUUCUGUCCCGAGGGGGAAAGAGACGGAGGGAGGUCGACGUGGCCGCGCUGUCAAUCUAAUCGCGAGGGGUGAGAGGGAGAGAGAGAGAGAGAUAAGCUCGCUCGCGCGAGCCGUGCCAUCGUGAAUCGUCGCAUCGGUCGUCGACGGAAAGGGGCACCGGAAGGGCCACGCGCGACGCGACGUCGGAUACUCGGAGCCGACGCGACGCGACGCAACGCGGCGUCGCGACGCGAGGCGCCGCGCAGUGCGCACUCAGCCAGGCACCCUCUGGCGCUCCCUCACCCUCGUCGAGUGCGAGACGAGCGUUGGCCGUUUCGCGCAAAGUUUUCGGACGACUCGACGCGGAGCAUCGAGGGGGAUACGAGCGAAUUGAGGCGAGAAGGAAAGAGAGAGAGAGAGAGAGAGAGAGAGAGAGAGAGAGAGAGAGAGAGAGAGAGAGAAAGAGAGAGAGAGAGAGAGAGAGGGAGGGAGAACGUCGUAAACCCGCCCGAAAUGGGUGUUUAACCCUCGCAACAACCAGGGCGUUCUCGCGUUCGUGUCGACAAUCGGGACAAAGUCGACGAGGAUGGUGAUGAGCGCGACGACACCUCGGUCGCGAUAAAAGAGACGGCGAGUCCCUUGGAGCGAGCAGCGGUGAACCCCCUCCGUCGUCAGCUGGGGAAACGGUUGUCGUGGGUGUGUAACUGUUCGGGGACGAUCGACUGCGUGGGCGUCGCGACGGCCGUUAGAGGCGCGCCGAGGAGCGCCAUUGUCGUGUCGUCUGCCACGUGAAUCGCGCGAGCGGACCUUUUCGGAGAGGAAGGCCUCCAGAUCCCAGUGGCCAGGUUGUGCGCGAACGCGCUCCAUCGUCGGUCGUCGAGCAUGCCUCUCGCGAACGCGACGGGAUCCGGUUAACGAGACGGAUUAACAGGAGCGAGAGCAGAGGCACCCCUCCGCGGCUCUGACAGUUGGGAUGGCGCAUCGUCUCGUUGCGGUGUUAUCGGGAAGAUAACGGAAAGAAUCCGACAGAGGAGGACGUCGAGGUGACACAACCGCAGCGCUACCGCCACGAGAGUCCUAUUUAUCUUUAGCGGCGGCAACCCAGUGACCCGUUUUCGUUUUCAAUCGAUGCGGUUUUACAGAAUUUCCCAGAGAAUCAGGGACGUAGCCAUUAUCCGGUGAUCGGAGCCCGAGGAAAGCGGCGUCAUCGUACCCGAUCGCUCCGAGGGUGCGAGCUCGCGUUCGUCAUCGGAUCGCACCCAACUGUCGUCUUCGCGAAGCUCCCUCGGAGAUCGACCCUCGACCUUUCUCGACCCUCCUCGUCGAAGCGACCAGAGAACCUCCGAGGAGGAUCCGCUUCUCCAGCCGAGCUCGACCAUAGCCGAAGACGACCCUCCCGGUCGCGUGUCGUACGCUCGCAAGGAACAGCGUAUCGUCCGAUGGUGCAUUCGGGCAGCGCAGCGCGUGAGGCCGGGCCGCAAGAGAGAAUGCGAGAGCCUCCUCACAGCCUGUGAACAUGAUUUGUCAUACACAUGCGACGGGCGGUAAUCGUACGACGAGAGACACCGACGACGACGACGACGACGACGACGAGGCCGACGACGAGGACGACGACGACGACGAGGAGGAGGAGGAGCACGACACCCGCGGCCAUGCCACGAGCACGUUGCGCGCUCGCAUGAGACCAGCCCGACUGCUCCUACUGCCCUACUGCAGUGUCCCGCAGCAUCAGCAUCAGCGGCAGGGAAGAAGGCCCGUGUCGCGCCAGACGUCGCGCCGGAUCAGCCGAGCGACCGAGUCUAAGGACGUCCACCUCCUAUCGUUAUCCCGUAGCACAGAGGAGGCCAUCCCGAAGUCAUCGACCACCACGACGGAGGUGGUGUCGCGUCGCGAUUGGCGCGAGCCGCGAGUGCAACGUUCGACGACGACGGUGGUGCAAUCGCGACGACGACGACGACGACGACGACGACAGCGUAACUCCGGUGCGUUCGCGUUUCCGCGUCGCGGUGCGGUGGUGCGGUCAACGGGUGUCGGAUGACUUCCCCAGGACGAAAGCCGCGCUUCGUAGUAGUCGUAGAGGGUUGUAUAUCGUCCCGGUCGUCGACGACGCUCGUCGUAGAGGAGAAGCGCGGAGGGAGCGUAGGCCCCGUCGGUAUUACGUCGGCAACGUCCCGUCGACGUCGGCGUCGUCGGUGGUGCGCCGGCCUGUCACACACCCGCGUCAUACCCACGUCGCAUACCCCGUGCACGCGCGUACCCCGCCAUCGUGAUGGCGGAGCUACCUCAGCCUGACAUGUCGCACCUCACCCCCGAGGAGAGGCGCAUCAUAGAGGGUGUUUUAAUGCGCCAAAAGGAGGAAGAGGAACAGGAUCACGAGAUUAUGAGGCGAAAGCAAGAUGAGGUGCAGGUCCUCGAAGAAACAAUACGGAUGCGUUCGGAGAAACACAAAAAGGCAGGUGUGGAGCUAAACGCCACGUGUCACAUAUGCUUGAAAACCAAGUUUGCCGAUGGCGUCGGCCACAUCUGCAACUACUGCGAAAUCCGGUGCUGCGCACGCUGCGGCGGAAAGGUCACUUUACGGUCAAGCAAGGUGAUAUGGGUGUGCAUCCUUUGCCGGAAGAAGCAGGAACUUCUUUCGAAGACCGGACAAUGGAUGUCGAAGACGAGCCUCAGCACCGUGGACAGCGCGCUGCUGCGACAAAUGCAGGAGGACUUGCAGGUGGGUGGUCGUCAGGGACUCGCGGACCAAACUCGGGAUAAAAGACCGAAACUCGAGAGGGCGCACAGCGCGGCUGAGAAAGAGAAUUUGCCGUUAUUACAGAGAAGCGGAAACUGUCCUCUCAGGAGACAGUACUCCCAGCAAGAGCAGAUCUCGGGUCGCCGUAUGUCCACGAGCGACAGUGGGGUGGAAAUGUCCGUUUCCCCUCACGCGAGAAGUUUACCGACGCCUCACGUGGUUGGUUCUUACCCGAUGCAACAAACUCCGAGACACCCUGCAGUCUAUCCCGACGACGAUCCGAAUUUAUACCGAGGCGAACUCGAUGGCCUGAUGAGACAACAUCCGCAGAAUUAUCAGAGGCAACGGUCGACCUAUCAAGAUCAGGGUGCGGAUCUCGGGAUGACUUAUGGCCAGACACCGAUGGAGACUGGUUCCAUUCGUACCACGGUACAUCCCUCUCAGCAGCAUUCGAUGCAUCAAACACAGGGCGGACGUUCCGCGCAAUCUGCGUCAACGGUGGGCGUCCAGCAACAAAGAAGUUUCAGUAGCAGCGAAGAGGAACGAAGCACACCGGAGUGCGCCAGUGACGAGCCGGACGAGUCGGAGAAAGGGAAGGGGUACUACCACCACGCGGGAGGUCCAAAAUCGAUGUCCAGUGGUGGGCGUAGGCACAACGGAUCCCACAAUGGGCACCAUGGGUCGGGCGCGGGCACGGCCGUCGAGCAUAACGGCCACCAUCCACCGCGAGAGCCGCGAAAGGAAGAGAACACUCUGGUCAGACGGAGCUUCCGAAGAUGCGGCGACGAGUGGCGCUCCGACAGUAGGAGGUUCACGGAGAGGAGGGGGAAAAAGACAGUGCGUUUUGAUGGUGGGACCAAUGUCGGCGGCCCUCAGGAGGAGGAAUGGUCUUGGGAGGCCGAUCGGCAGGGUAGCCAAGACAGCGCGACCAAAGACUCCGGGAUAGACACUUCUAGCACGUUCACGAGCAGUGAAGACAGCAACAGGGGCGAUCUGCCCAAGCACCCACUAUCCUGGCAAGUGAGUGAGGACGGUCAGAAGAUCAUCGGCCACAUGGUUUUGCGAAAAUCGGCCGGUUCCGGAAGCUGCAGUAGUAUACUCGGGCUAAAAGUUGUCGGUGGCAAGCUACUGGAAGACGGUUCCAGAGGCGCUUUGAUCGAGAAGGUGAAAAAGGGUAGUACGGCGGACGUAGAAGGUCAACUUAGACCCGGUGACGAGGUGAUCGCGUGGAACGGGAGGUCCCUGCAGGGCAAAAGCUUCCGGGAAGUUUACGACAUCAUCACCGAGUCGAGACUGGAGCCGCAAAUCGAGCUCGUAGUUGAGAGAAAAUUGUCCACGACGACGACAGGCAUGACGCCUGCCGGACCGGGCCCGUCGACGCCCAUGGCGUCCAGGCGAAUUGUCGCUCAGAGCCAAUGGCGACAGAAACACGAGACCAUCCCUGGAUCACAGCCACAUCACAAAGGUCUUAAGAAAUGUAUUCUAUGGGAGUUGUACGACGCGAGGCGUGAGAAACCCUCGGUUUUAGUGACGUCACCCGGCUCGCCGGACCUGCAUGCCCAAGGACGCGGUCGACACUCCCGACAUCCAACCGGAAAUGCGAACGUGGGCGGCAGCAUUCAAGUGAAGCUGGGUUUCGAUCCCAUGGGACUUCAACUGAUCGUCACGAUAAUUUGUGCCGCGGGACUCACGCCCAAGAGCAACGGCCAACCGAGGAACCCUUACGCCAAAAUCUUUCUGCUUCCCGACAAGAGCGAGAAAUCGAAACGGCGUACAAAGACCGUGGCGAAUACAAACGAUCCAAGGUGGAAUCAGACCUUCUUUUAUAACGGAGUCAGACGUUCGGAAUUGAGGAAAAGGGCAUUGGAGAUUACGGUCUGGGACUACGCGAGGUACGAGGCGAACGAUUUUCUCGGCGAGGUUGUCCUGGAAUUGGCAGUAUGUCUCUUAGACGAGGAACCAGAAUGGCAUUCUCUGACCGCUCACGGAGAACACCGGCACGUCAGACAUUACCAAGAUUCUGAUGACGUGCCGGAUCAUCAUCUCAGUCCACCGUCGACCACUUCGAGAUUAAGUGAUUCCGACACCUCGGAGUGCGAUAUUACGGACUGCGACGUGUCGAGGGAACAAAGAAGAACGGCUGACGGUGCCAGCAUAAGUAGUAUCGGCAGUUCCUCUAGGUUUCAUAAUAUGCCGUCAAAUUAUAAGCGCCACUAUUCUAGCCCGCCACCGGAGAGAGAGCUCUGCGUCGACGGCGAGCAUCGGAGUCGAAGGGACAUGUCGCCUCAAGGACGCAAAAGGGCGGCCCUCAUGAUUUCUCGUGACCAACCGGCUACCAUCGCGUCCGGUUAUCAGACGUAUCGUAAGGACGACAUCCAUCGGGGAAUGAUGGGUCAUAGGUCGCACAGCGCAGCGCCUAUGGACUCUCCGAGCGUCAGGUACCGAGGAAGAUCUCAGAGUCCCACCGGUCAUCGUUCCUUGUCUCCGCCUGAGCACAGAUCCAUUCCCUAUUCGCACGGAUACGUUCACACGACGAGAUUCGGCUCGAGAUCGGCAACUGCUACUCCCACUGGAUCGCCAAAGAAACGUCAGCUACCUCAAAUCCCGGCAGCCCUGAAGGAAAGGGUCACGCAAGAUCUGGAAGAACGGGCAAGGUUCAUGAGACACCGUAACAGGCAGUCGAUAUACAGAAGCACAGGCAUGGGAGGCUGGGAAAGGCAUUACAGUGGCCUUUCAGACUCGGAUCUUCCCUCAAUCGGACACGAUCCAUUAACGUUGUCGCACAGUCACGCUUAUAGGAUGCACAGACCCAGAAAGGGACAUUUGAGCCCCGAAAAAGAUGUGCUCGGUGAUCUCGGUGAUUCUGAUAUGGAGAGCAUAGCCUCGGUAACGAGCAGUGCCUUUAGUACGCAAUCGGAACGACCACGUGGAUCGAGAGCACUAAUGCCAGGAUCCGUCGGUCUGCUAUCGCGCCGGGCCAAGAGUUUCGAGUACGAGAGCAUUUCGAGCAACAUAUUCAGCGACGACAGUCUCAGGACCGCCCGGAGAAAGCUCAAGCGGAAUCUCUCUCUCAGCGACGCCGGCUACGGCGACAAGAUACCGGCGCUGGGCGAUCAGAGCAAGUCCUACUACGAUUCUAACGGCGACGACAAAGUGCCUAGAGAUCUCGCGAGCAAGGAAACGAAUUACGAUUUUCUUUCCCAAGAUCAUAAGCCGUUUUACGGAUACGACUCCGAGCUUAGCUGCGGCGAGACGGAAAUUUACGUCCCGAGCUUCGACAAGCGAGGCAUCGAUGAUUAUCAAUCCACGUAUUUAGCGGACAGCGAGCGAUCCAACCUGAGGAAUAUCUUGGACAAGGACGAUACCGGCAAGAGAAAAUACAUGGACGAGAGUUAUUUGAAUCACGAAUCUUCGUACAUCAGAGAUUUAUCCUCGGAGAAGAAGAUGAAGAAUGUAGAGAGUGACCUUUGUAACACGGUCGGCGAUCACGCCUACUGCAACAUCGAAGAGGCUCGAUCGUCUGGCAAAAAUUACGAUCGCGACAUUCUCCAGAAGAUCCAUAGUACCUCGAACGUAGACGAGGAGUGGAUGUCGCAAGAUGCCAAAAGUAUCUUGCGACCUCGCGGAGAAACUGGCCGUUCCUAUCAAAGAGAUAAAUAUAAAGAUUACGAGAACUGGGACGCCGAUUACGACGAAGGGUUCAUAGAGCGAGAGAAAGUCGACGAUUAUGAGCAAAAGCGAUUUGAUUAUCUGAACGAGAGUAUCCGAGACUUAAGGAUCGCUGGAUCGAUGUACGACGACGAGUAUUUUCAGCGAAAACGCGAUUACGCACAGUCGGACGAUGACGGCAGGAAGCUUACGUCGACGAGCGAUUACAUCAGUUAUCGUCCCCUCGACGAAUACGAGUCUUCCUCGUCUACCGUGCCGCGAAGACGAAGACGAAGAAGCAGAAGAGGCAGCAGAGAGGGUGACUACGAAAGCCCGCGUGCCAGAGACGUUCAAUCGAGAGGGUCGACGGACAACAGGAGGCUGAUGAUCCAACGAACCGAAUCCACGCCGACUCUACACUCGGACGAGGACCUAAGCUCGAUUGCGGAUCGCACCAGACGCAUGUACCGCCGCAAGCGAAACAGCAGCUGUCCAGAGAGCAGAGAUCUGCGAAUAUACGGCACGCGAAGAGACGACGAAAGGACGUCGAGUUUCGUGCUGGACUCCGACGAGGAGUUUGGUUCCAUGGAGACGGUCGUCGGCGCCGAUCAUUUCCGUCGGAUCGCUUCCUCGGGCUUCGUGACGGAGACUAGAGCGAACGGGAAAUCGGGCUUCCUCGACGCGGAACAAGAUCGUGAUAGCUACUUGUUAGACGCAAGAUACGAUUACGAAAAUCGCUAUCAGGAUAAUCGCAGUUAUGCGGAGAUGAGUCGCGAGCUAGUUAGGUCAGGGUCGCAGCGUUCCUCGGGUCGCGAGGCCCGAUAUGCGUCGUCGCGCGCUAGGCGUAAGAGUAGUUGCCCCGAGUGUCGUGAGCUGUCCUCCUCGGAGUUAGGUAGGUCGGGAUCGCUGUCGCGAAAGGUCGACGACACUCGGCGGUCAUCGAUCGAAUCGAAGCAUAGAUAUCGUAGGCGAAACAGCAGCUGUCCAGAGGCUAGGGAUCUCGAACUGUUCGACAAGAGGCAACGGCAGCAGCAGCAGCAGCAACCGCAGCACCACCAGCAACAGCUCACGCAGCGUCACCAGCAGCAGCAGCAGCAGAGGCGGCCGAGCCAGCAGCAGCAGCAGCACCCGCAUCAGCAACCGCAGGGAAGUAGUAAGAGGAACGUGGCGAUCAGCGACACCCUCGAGUACUACGAGUACUCGAUGGAGAGCGAGAGCCAGUGCAGCGAGAACUGCGGAUUUGGCCCGUGCGAUCCGCGUAGGCCCCGUAACCGAGCACCCCGCCCUGGUAACGCUAAUUCGAGUCUCUUUGAUUCCCAAACCGCUACCUCCGACACUGCUAAAAACUACCACCCACGGGUCGACGAUCAUCAUCACCACCAACACCCACAAAACACGAAAACGUCGCCGCACGUCCACGUGACGUACCUGCCGCCGCGGCCACCGGCGUCCUCCACCCGGCGACGAUCCUUCCGAAAAAAAUCUGUCUACGACGUCGACGUCGACACCGCCGCCGAUCGUCGCGACGAUGACGACUCACGGACUCGUCGUUCCUCGUCCAUGCCCGAAAGCAGCGAGUACAGCGGCCAAUCGAGCUCGUACGAGAAGACGUCCAGACACCAGGUCACCGACAACGGGCACGACGGCCACGACAAGAGAAGCCAGUUCACUAGGAGUCUCAGUAACGCCGAUGUGCCCCAAGACGAGAAAGACACGGGUAGUUUUAGUGACACGGCAAUCGCAUUGAACGUCGAAGAUGCUUCGAAGCGAGGCCGUAAAAGCUCGCCAGGAAGCAAGAGCGGAAGCGGCAGUAGCAGCGGAAGCGCGGUGCAGUAUCAAACGGGUCUGGGCAAAAAGAGCAACAGCACCAGCCAAUUAUCCGCGACAGAGUGCGGCGGGAUGAUCAUCGGCGGCGGCGCCGUGGCACGCGCCGGUUUAGCGAGCCGGAAGCGCAACAGCACGCCGAGCAGCAUACAACGAUCCGAGGAGAUCAUGCCGGCCUAUCAGCGCUUUGACAGCAAACAGGCGGGAUCGGCAGCCAGCGAUACCGCCGGGAGUCUCAACUCGAUCUCUAGUUCCGAAGGAAGCUCCUGGUCUCCGAGUCUGCGAAUGGCAGGCGAAGGGCAGUUGAGAGACUUCAUCGAAGACCUUGGACCGGGCCAAGUAGUCGGAAGGCAGGCCCUCGGUGCCCGUUGCCUCGGUGAGAUUCAACUGUCGUUGAGCCACACAAAGGGUUACCUGGAGGUAGAGGUCAUACGUGCCAAAGAUCUUAAAGCGAAACAAGGCAGCAAAGUAACACCAGCUCCUUACGUGAAGCUUUACCUGGUGAACGGUAAAAGAUGUAUAGAGAAAGCGAAAACCAUGAUGGCCAGAAAAACGUUAGAUCCGUUCUAUCAACAAUUGUUGGCUUUCAAGGAGAACUGUCGGGGCUGUAUAUUACAGGUGACGGUGUGGGGCGACUACGGUCGGAUAGAAGGGAAAAAAGUGUUCAUGGGUAUUGCACAGAUCGUAUUGGAUGAGCUGGACCUCAAUCAGAUGGUGUUCGGAUGGUACAAGCUGUUUGACACCCAAGCCCUGGUCAGUGGAGCUCCAUCCCUUGCUUUGUCCCGUCGAUCUUCGGUCACGUCUCUCGAUUCUUUUAAAAUUUAAAAGAAUGACUGUCCGAAGAACGUACCGAAAUAAUUCCCUUUACACAUAUAUUUAACGAGGAGAUGUUUGAGUUUCUUACAGUAGAGCAAAGUAGAGAAAAAAAGUAACACUAGAUUGAGUUCGAGCUCCUAUCUCGCGGUGCACCUAUAGUCGCUUCCACCAUUAAUAGGAUACCGAAAUGCACGAGUCUCGAUGUAUAUAAGGUAGUAUCAUAUUUAUCGAUAAACAACUAGAGAGAUGGAAAGUGAAAAUCAUUAUAAACAUUUUUAACAUCUUAAAUGACAUAUUCGGAAAAUCAUCGUUUGAUGAUGUUAUGAUGUAGUCAAAUGUAAAGUAUAUAUUUCAAGUCAAAUAACUAUUUAAGAUUAUCGUUAUAUUUACUGUAUAAAAAAAUCGAGGAUAGCGUCAUAGAUAAUUCUUUAUCGUAUCAUAAUAUUAUCAUUCUAUGGUUGAUAACAAAAGUUUGAAAAGAAUCUUAAACACGCUACGCGUAUCUUCCUCGUUAGCUAAAUUAAAUGUUGAAGCCUAAGACUACUUAACGACUGACGUUUGGCUCUGAAUACGGUAAAGUCAGUUUAAAUGCAGUAUACGAGAAAUAAAUUGUAUUGUACGGAUAAUAGAAGGUUCCGCGGGGGAGGAAGACAGAAAGAGAAACAAAGGGAAGAAUGAAAUCGAAAGAUAAACGCAAAAACGAUGCGAGAAAAGAGUGUGAAAAAACGUACGGGAGAGGACAUGUCUUUCUAGAAACACCACUAGUACAUCACAUAUCAUGUACGGCAUAUCAGACGAGCCACUAGUCUGUAUGUAGGACUAGAUGUAGACGUAGCCAGCCAUGUGUUCCCGGAGCGCCAGAUAGUUUUUAGUGAAAACCAACCAAAUCAAGCAAGUUCGGGAUAGAUGUGAACUCAAAUGUGGUGUACUAGAUUAAUAAUAUACGAACGAUUACAAUGACGCUCGUUUUCAGUGAAUCUAAAUGUGUGUAUGCGUGCGUGUAUAUGUGUGCGUGGGUGUGUGUGUGUGUGGUUAAGUGGUUAAAGAGAUUAAUGAGUACUGUGAAAAAUGAAGCGACGGUCCAUGGACUUCAUUUAAUCAACAUGCGAGAAAGAUUAAAAAUGUUGCGAGAGAGAAUAAGUAUAUAUAAAUAUAAAUAUAUUACAUAUAUGCUUAUGGAAGACGUUUCCAAACUUUGUAUAUAAUUUUAGGACAGUUCAAGUACUAUAAAUACCGAUCUCCGAAAUGGUCGGCUAAAAGACAUUUUAUCGUUGUCAAAUUUUUAGUCAAAAAUGUCACCGUCAGAAAUAAUAUAUAUGUAUAUAUAUUAUUUAAUGUAAAUAAUAUAAUAACUAUAUAAAAUUGUACGAUAUAUGUGCGCGCAAGUUUGAAUGAGUAAUAAUGUUUGCGUUGACAUUUUUCGUUGUCGUUUAUCGGUUUCCACAAUAUACGAUCGUCACUAUGAUUUUUUUCGCGUUCUCUCUAUAAACUCUGAUCUGAUUUAAUCUUUUCCAAAUUAAUAUAAUUCGGAUUAAGUGGAACGUACGAUGAUAUAAUUUUAAUUGCGCAGUUUAAUUUUUUAAUUAUACAGUUUGUUCUUUUUUCAUAAUAAAAUUUGUUCGUCAUCGUACACGCUAUCACGUUACUCAGCUUUUUAAGCUUCGUUUAGUAACUCGUCCAAAAUGAGAUACCAUUAUAAUGUAGAAAAUGUGGAGCAAGUGUUAUAUAGUAUCACAUUUUUCAAAUAUGAAGCAGACUGAUAAAUCGAUUCCUAUGAUAUCUACGUUUGGCUGCUUUUGUGAAAUUAGCAAUUUCGAGGGAGCCGGGAUGUAAAGAUAUAUUCGAACAAAUUAUAAAUUAGCUUCGUUUUUAAAGAAUUUUAUUUAUAAAUUUUAUUUAAGUAAAAAGCAAGGUUUUCGAGACAAAUUGAAAAAAAAAAAAUACGAACCGCCCAUAUAACUCGUGUAAACGGGACGCGCGUCGCGGCAAAAAUUCUUUUUCGUACUGAUUUUGUACAAAAAUAAUAAGCAGUGACCACCACACUAAAUAUUUAAGAGGCUUUGUAAAUCUCUGUAAGAAAUGCGUAAACGCUUGCCAUUAAUUUUAUAUAUCUUGAUUAUCGUGCUAUGUGUUCGAUCUUUCUUCGUGCGUAUCUCAAACACUCGCGAAGAUACACAUCAGCGAGUAUGCACAUGCACGUGAAGUGUCUGCUGUGAAUUAGUAAAUAAUUACAUUCGUGCCCUGUAAAAGAGAAUCAGAGAAAGAGAGAGAGAGAGAGAGAGAGAGAGAGAGAGAGAGAGAGAGAGAGAGAGAGAAGUUGAAAGAUUGAGUGAGAAAGAAAAUUAUUUUCCGUCAAGUAUUUAAGGUUUGGUGUGUGUAAACUUCGUGUACAAGACAAACGUUUCAACUUAAUUAUGAGAAGAAAUUUUUGAAAGGACGAGAAAGAAUAUCUGUGCGAAGGAAAACGAGUUUUUAAUAUUUUUUUAAACAGCAUAUAUUGCUAUUUAUGUCGAUACUUACGUAUACUUUCGCCAAAUUGAUAUAUUAGAUGAAUGCUAAAUCGAAAAGUUCGCUGCGCGAAUUUUCUUUGUGUGUCUCAUUAAUUUUUUUUAGCGAAGUAGGCUUUUUUUUCACGUGACAUGUUUUGAAAUUACGAAUCAUUGUAAUUGUAUGCGUGGAAGGUACUCCUUGGAUAUUACCGACAAAACUUUGAUAAAUGGAAUGCAGUAGCUUCAAGCGGCUAUAUUACGUAUAUUUUUGUAAAUCUCCGAUUUACCGAUAACAAUUCGCUAGAGAUAUAGGUUCGAACGCAGAGAAUUUCUAUCCGGAAUGAUUCGCGUCACGUUUCUUGAGUGAUUAAAGCCGUAAGAUUAAGUGACAGCAAUGUCAACAUCUAUCUUAUCACGAGUCUUACAAUAAUUGACCAAGUAUAAUAUCUUGCUUUACAACUUGAAACGAUUGUCUCAUUCACACUCGCAUUUUCGCUCUUCGAUACUAUACGACUAUUUCUACGCGAUCCAUAACGCGAAUUUUUUGAAUUAAUACCGGAUAAUGUAAGCGCGUUUGAUACGCGUGCUGAGAUUAUAUCGAAUUGCCAUCGAAAUACAUGCAUCCGUCGUUAAGCGAGCUAUAACGUAAGACUUAGCUUAGAGUUUGAGAAGAACGAGAUAACGAAGUAUCAUUGAUUUACAGACGAAUCAUAUAGAUACGUCAUCGAUAAUCCGAAUGUUCAUGAAUAUAAAUUCUAGGUAACGUAACUUUUCUCGUAAAUCGGCAGACCGAUCGAGACUUUUAGGGAACGAGGGAAUUGUAUAGAGAAGGGUGGUAUCUUAUCAUAUCUAUAACAUGCUUAAAUUAGAGACGUACGGCAAGAGAAAGAAGCUUUUUUACUCGUGAGAAAACAAAGACAAAAAGUAGGGUUCUAAUCCGAAGAGAUGUAUAUGUAAAGUAUUGUGAAAAAAAAAAAUAAUAUAUUACUAUAAGCUCAUUUCUAAGUACAUAUUUUGCAAAUGCACGGAUUUAUCAAGAUUGUGGGACAAUGAUGACGUAAUACACAAAUAUAAUUCUGUAAUAGUUAAUUGAUAAAAUAUACAAGACUACUAUUACUACUACUAACGUAACUCUUCAGUUUGUAACGCGCCGUUUAUACAGAGACGGCUGUAAGAUUCUUCGCAAAAUUAAUUCGACGCUCUCGUCUCUUCGCAAGCUGUUUCUUGUGCGCGAUCUUGCGUUUCUUAUAAAUAUAUAUAAUUAUUCUACUAAUAAAACGAUCGAUAAAUUUCACAGAAAAAAAACGAAUUUUACUUUUAGAAUUAAGAAAAAUCAUAGAAUUUAUACAAUAUAAAAAAUUUACAAAGAUUGCACUUAUCCAAGUAAUUGAACGAACUCGAGAAAUUCAUCACGUGUUUGAUACGCAUUUAAUACGCAAAUUGAUACGUAUCGCAAUACAAUAUAAUGAUAAAAUAAUAUAUUCUCCGAAUCAGUAAAAAUUUGACGGAAAUUUACGAGAAAAAUUUACGAGAAAAAUUUAAGAGAAUAAUUGGCCUUUGCGUCGCGACUAUUCUCAGUAAUAAUACUAAAUAAAUUUGUAUAUAUGAUUGCCUAUCUCGAUUAGAAUGUUGAUUUGUCAGAAGAAACAGCUCGAAGAAGUAUACGUCGAUUUCUAUUCUUGCCAUGCCCAUCUGUAUAUAGGCAUGCUCAAUUCUAGGAUCGGAAACGCGUAUCGUGAAAAAAAAAUCACACAUAAUAUUAAACUACGAAACGCGCGAAUACAAAUUAUUAUCCGACUUUGUACCUAUAUAUAUUAUUAAUUAACUUAAUGAAAAAGUACGGGGUGAAACCCCGAGUACUAAUAUCGAUAUGAAUAGUAGAAGCUAACGAAGAUUGGAACAUGAAAAAAAAGAAAAAAUCGUGAGAGAAAAGAUCUAGCAAAAAAAAAAAAUAUAAUAAAGAUGAAAGAACAUUACUUACGAAUGAAAAUGCCUGAGAGCCAAGGGGUACCACUUUUGUCAAAUUUAGAAAGCCAAUUUAGGUUUACAAUAAAAUACAAUAGGGUGUAUACGUGUGUGUCGGGCGUGCGAAAAGGAUUGGAAAGAAAAGGUGAGAGUGAAAGGAUAUGCGAUCCAGCGAAAGAAAAGGAAGGGAUUAAACGUCGUAACCGAAACGUCGUAAAGACAUCGGCAAGAACGAGCUAUAAAAUGAAUUAUCCACUAUUCUCAUAGAAAGAAGUUCAUCAGGUAGCUUAGGUGAUCUCUAAUCUUGUAUCUCGUGAGCUCACGAACGACUCGUAUUCCCGAUAUUUUGGACGAAUCUUGAAAACUAAUGUUGCGAUCAGAUUACGUGUCAAUUUUUUGACGGAUUUUAAUUUUAAUUUAAUUUUCUCGAUCAUUGCGAGAAACGCGUAUUAAUAUUAACGGACGUUCUAAUUAAAUUUUCUUCCGAUGCUCUUUUCAAAUACACGAUUUUCGGUGGAAUUGUCUUUUUUCAGCAUCAUCCGAUAUCUUUUAAAACGAAUUACGAGUCGGUCGUAAGAUAAUGCGCGCGCGCCCGCGAAGCAAUUUUAUUAUUUUAAUAUUAAAUAGACAAAAGAAAAAGAUUUUACUAUAUUAUAUUUCACGAAAUCAUUGAAGACGCAACUGCGCGCGCGUGCGGCGGGACUCGUACAUUUCUAUCAUUUUAUUAUGAUAAGUGUUUAAAUUUAUUUCUCUAAAAAGUACGACAAAAAGGAUGAGAGAGAGAGAGAGAGAGAGAGAGAGAGAGAGAGAGAACUGCAAAAUGAAAAGCAUAAAAAGUGAAAAAGAAAGAGAACAGAUGUGUAAGAAACGAAAUAGUGGGCGUUAGAAAAGAUGUUUACUUUUCGUUGAACAAAAGAAAGAAAGAAAGCAUAAAUCACGAAAGAACGAAAGAAUUUAAGCAGUACGUUUAGACAACAUUUCGGAGAAUCUCAGCCGAGAACUCCGUGAACCUUUGUUCCGCUCUCGCUUUCGAAAACAUCGAAGAAAUCCGAAUUGAUUCAAAGUAAUCAUUGCAUGAUAUGAAUGUUAUAUUUUAAUUUUUUUCAAUUAUAUAAUAUGCAUUUUCUCUCUCUUCACACCGCGUACGACCAAUCGCGGAUCGCUUUAAAGGCUGUCGCCUCAUUCACGGAGCUCGCGGUAGGAGAUCGCGAGAUGAAUAAAUAUAAAACGUUAGUGACUGUAUCCAGUAUCAUAUAUCUGAUAAAAGAUACCCCCGAUGCCAGAGAUGGCGUGUGACAAUAAAGUGAUUCAAUGAU